rnacentral:rRNA from 1 species
GUCCAGACUCCUACGGGAGGCAGCAGUGAGGAAUAUUGGUCAAUGGGCGGGAGCCUGAACCAGCCAAGUCGCGUGAGGGAUGACGGCCCUAUGGGUUGUAAACCCUUUUUGCCGGGGAGCAAAGUGCCGCACGUGUGCGGUUUGGAGAGUACCCGGAGAAAAAGCAUCGGCUAACUCCGUGCCAGCAGCCGCGGUAAUACGGAGGAUGCGAGCGUUAUCCGGAUUUAUUGGGUUUAAAGGGUGCGUAGGCGGCGGCUUAAGUGAGGGGUAAAAUUGCGGGGCUCACCCUCGGCGAGGCGUUGAAACUGGGUGCCUUGGGUGGGCGAAGAGUACGCGGAA